UGGUGGGUUGCCUUGUCAGGUUGAUUCCGGUAACGAACGAGACCUCAGCUUGCUAACUAGUCACGCGUGCUCCGGCACGCGGCGGACUUCUUAGAGGGACUAUUGGCGAUUAGCCAGCGGAAGCAUGAGGCAAUAACA
rnacentral:rRNA from 1 species